CUCUCUAAGUCACUAACUUGUCCUGCUGGGGUCAAACUUGCCGUCCUCCUGCCUCAGACUGCCUAAGUGCUAGGACUAUUAUGCCCGGCUACACAUUUUUUUAAAUCCAGUUAUUGGUUGGUGGACAGAUUGACCUCUUGGUUAAUGUGAAUGGUGCUUCAAUGAAUAUGAGUGCAUGUAUCUUUGAGAUAGUUUUUAUUUCUUUUUGUAUAUACCCAGAAGCAGGACUGUUGGAUCAUAUGGUAAAUCUAUUGUUAAUUUAAGGACUCUACAGUAUGUUUUAAAUUUAUUUAUUUGGUACUGAGAAUUGAACCCAGAUCCAUUGCACUGAGCUACAUCCCCAGCCCUUUAAAAAAAAAAAAAAAGUGUUUUGUUUUGUUUUGUUUUGUUUUGAGACAUGGUCUUGCUAAAUUGCUAAAUCACCCAAGCUGGGUCUGAAUUUGCAAUCCCCCUGCCUCUGCUCCCCAGAGUGCUGAGAUUACAGGCAGGCACCAUCAUGCAGGUCCUGGAAUUCCCAUACUGUUUACCAUACUGGUUAUACCACCCUAACAUUCCUUCUGACAGUGCACAAGAGUUCCAAUCUCUCCACAUCCUUAUCAGCACUUGUUAUUUUCUGUUUUUUCUUUUGAGUAGUGGUCAUCCUAGUGGAUGUUAGGUGAUAUAUCUCAUUGUAGUUCUGGUUUGCAUUUCCCUGAUCAUGUGUGAUGUUGAACAUUUUUUCAUAUACUUGCCGCCCAUUUGUGUAUUGUCUUUGGAGAAAUAUCUAUUCAAGUCCUUUGCCCUUUUUUGUUUUUGGUUUUGUUUUUUGAGACAGGGUCUCAAUAUGUAGUUCAGGCUGAUUUUUUUUUUUUUUUUUUUUUUUGGUACCAGGGGUUGAACUCAGGACCUUGCAUAUUUCAGGCAGGCACCGGCACCACCGAGCUAAAUCCCUGGCAGUUCAGACUGAUUUUGAGCUCAUCGUGUAGCCCACCCCAGGCUGGCCUCAAACUCGAAGCAGUCCUCCUGCCUCUGCCUCCUACGUGCUGGGAUUACAGUUCUGCUGUGACCCUGAAACUCUGACACAGUAAGAAAGAGAUGAACUAGCAAGUCAUGAAAACACACAGAAGAACCUUAAGUCUGUAUCAUGAAGUGAAAGGAACUUCGAGGCUCGUGUGUUGGAAGCUUUAGACCCAUGUGGGCUUUCAGGAGAGGGGCCUAGGAGCUGCCGCCCACAGUGGGUUAGUGCUGCUGUCCUGGAGCAGGGUCCUUGCCAGGUGAUCCAUUUAGCUCCCACUCGCCUUCUCUGCUCAUCUACCACGAGAUGCCAUAGAGCAGCAAGAAGGCCCUUGCCAGAUGCCAACCCUUCUAGCUGCUUCCUAGCCACUAGAAGUACAAGACUGUAAACUUCUGUGUAUCAUAAAUUCCUUCGUCUGAUACCUGUAAUCCCUUGGGAGGCUGAGGCAGGCAGAUCGACACAAGUUUGAGGCCAGCCUGGACUACAUAGUGAAUUCAAGGCCAGCCCAAAUGACAUAGUGAGAUCUUGUCUCAAAAAAAUAAAAUAAAUUAUGGCAGCGUGACACAGACUAAGACAGAUGCCAAUCUGAAAAGGUUACAGACUACAUAAUUCUGUGAUGUUCUGGAAAAGGCAAAACUAUGGAGACAAUCGAAAGAUCAGUGGUUUCCAGGAGUUGAGCAGAGGGCAGGAUGAACUGUAGAGCAGAGACAAUUUUUAGGAAGGUGAAACUAUUCUGGCUGCUGCUGUCAUGGAAGAUACACGUUGUUACACGUGUGUGGAAAUCCAUGGGACACGCGUCACUGGCAGGGGGCCCUUAGGGUAACAAGGUGCUAGUGUAGGUUCAGCAGUGGUAACGAAUGUACCCUGGUGGGUCAGGAUGGGGAGGGAUGGGGCACGGACAUAUG
ensembl:lncRNA